rnacentral:rRNA from 1 species
GGAGGUUGUGGCCUUGAGCCGUGGCUUUCGGAGCUAACGCGUUAAGUAGACCGCCUGGGGAGUACGGUCGCAAGAUUAAAACUCAAAUGAAUUGACGGGGGCCCGCACAAGCGGUGGAGCAUGUGGUUUAAUUCGAUGCAACGCGAAGAACCUUACCUACUCUUGACAUCCAGAGAAGCCAGCAGAGAUGCAGGUGUGCCUUCGGGAGCUCUGAGACAGGUGCUGCAUGGCUGUCGUCAGCUCGUGUUGUGAAAUGUUGGGUUAAGUCCCGCAACGAGCGCAACCCUUAUCCUUGUUUGCCAGCACUUCGGGUGGGAACUCCAGGGAGACUGCCGGUGAUAAACCGGAGGAAGGUGGGGACGACGUCAAGUCAUCAUGGCCCUUACGAGUAGGGCUACACACGUGCUACAAUGGCGCAUACAGAGGGCAGCCAACUUGCGAAAGUGAGCGAAUCCCAAAAAGUGCGUCGUAGUCCGGAUUGGAGUCUGCAACUCGACUCCAUGAAGUCGGAAUCGCUAGUAAUCGUGGAUCAGAAUGCCACGGUGAAUACGUUCCCGGGCCUUGUACACACCGCCCGUCACACCAUGGGAGUGGGCUGCAA